rnacentral:rRNA from 1 species
AGUAGCCGCGGUAAUACAGAGGGUGCGAGCGUUAAUCGGAUUUACUGGGCGUAAAGCGUGCGUAGGCGGCUUCUUAAGUCGGAUGUGAAAUCCCUGAGCUUAACUUAGGAAUUGCAUUCGAUACUGGGAAGCUAGAGUAUGGGAGAGGAUGGUAGAAUUCCAGGUGUAGCGGUGAAAUGCGUAGAGAUCUGGAGGAAUACCGAUGGCGAAGGCAGCCAUCUGGCCUAAUACUGACGCUGAGGUACGAAAGCAUGGGGAGCAAACAGGAUUAGAUACCCGCGUAGUCCCUGUCUCUUAUACA